UACAGAGGGGGCAAGCGUUAUUCGGAAUUAUUGGGCGUAAAGGGCGCGUAGGCGGUUUGGCAAGUGGGUGGUGAAAUCCCUCGGCUUAACCGAGGAACUGCCGUCCAAACUGCUUAGCUUGAGACCGGGAGAGGUGAGUGGAAUUCCCAGUGUAGCGGUGAAAUGCGUAGAUAUUGGGAGGAACACCAGUGGCGAAGGCGGCUCACUGGACCGGUACUGACGCUGAGGCGCGAAAGCGUGGGGAGCAAACGGG
rnacentral:rRNA from 1 species